UACAGUUCAGGUCCUCACGUUGCCUGGAAAGU
rnacentral:piRNA from 1 species